UACGUAGGCAGCGAGCGUUGUUCGGAGUUAUUGGGCGUAAAGAGCGUGUAGGCGGCCAGGUAGGUCUGCUGUGAAAACUCGAGGCUUAACCUCGAGCUGUCGGCGGAAACCAUCUGGCUAGAGUCCGGAAGAGGAGAAUGGAAUUCCCGGUGUAGCGGUGAAAUGCGCAGAUAUCGGGAAGAACACCCGUGGCGAAGGCGGUUCUCUGGGACGGUACUGACGCUGAGACGCGAAAGCGUGGGGAGCGAACAGG
rnacentral:rRNA from 1 species